GAAGCUUCAGCCACCGUCACGCCUGGCUGUUGCCAGGGUUGCCACCGCCGCGUCUCACCACUAAAGACUACACUGUUGCCGAACCGGGCCAGAUUUACCGAUUAAUGCUACUGCCGCCACUGGCUUGCCAUUUCUGCUCGGCUGUGCCCUUAUUCGCCGUUCUAAUUGUUGAAAGGAAAUGUUGUCGAAGCUAUAGUUUCUCUGUUCCCCAUUCUUUUGUUUCUUUUCUGGUAAGACAAAUUCUAUUGUACCUUAUCUUGCCAUAAUGCUCCAUUUCGAUUCUAUUUUAUUAGUGCGUAAUGUUCCUCUUUGCCUUGCUUGGUUGUGUUUAUUCUGGCUGUUAGCUAAAGCUGCUGUGUUUGCGGUUAUUACUUUUGCUUGCCGAUCUUCUUUGCUAGCAGAGGGUGCUUGGAAUACAAAUCAUAACGUAGCUACUGCAGAAUAAGGUGAAAAGAGGGUUUAUCGCGUUAAAAUCGCUGCGGGUUUGAUUCUUUGAGGUAGGGGUUUUUCUUAAAAUCCAAUUUAUAUUACAGAGUUGUGAUAAAUAGAUAUUAAUGUGAGAAAACAUAUGCCUAUGACUAUAAUUGUCUUCUAAAUGUGGUUGUUUGUUGGACUGAAUGACUGAUUGCUUGAUUGCUUGAGUAGCUUGUGAUUGCUGAAAA